CCCAAGGUAGGCAGCUUCCCGCUCCUCGUCUUGGGACCUAAACCCAGGAAGUCAAAUGUCCUUUUCUAGCAGGUCGCCUGGUUAGAGGCCGUGGACGAAGCGGUCCAGGCACAGCCAGCUGCAGGGCGCGGCCUCGGCGGCGCUGCUCGUGGCCCUGGUCAGUGAGCGCACUCACUCCUGGACUAAGCUCUAUGCAACUCAUUUUCAUCUAGCAUUACCUCUCCAAAACCUGAAUCUCCACAAGAAAGCCACACAGCAAUUAACCAGUGUUGCAAGAACUGCUUCUGUAAUAAAGGUGGGAAGACAAAUUGAUGCAACCCUCUUGAAAAGCAAUCUGGCAAUAUGAACCAAGAGCCAUGAAAAGGCUUAUGCUAUUAUAAUUAAAUGGCUGUAAUGUUGGCUGUAAAUAUGAAAUUUUCUUUCACACACCAAUGUUUUCAAGAAUGGCAUAUUCACAUGCAGUAUGUGACAUUGCUUGGUGAAGUUCCAAAAAUACAUGGCAAGAGAAGAAUUGAAGAGCAAAGAAUUCAUGCAAAACUGGUUUCAGCAAGUACAACUAUGGUCCAAGGGAACUAUGCCCAUUUCUCCUUCAUGCUUACAGGAUCCCAUUAGUUCAACUUCAGUUUUUCUUAGUUCCUAUUACUAAGACUUCUUUAACUUAUACUAUGUAGAUUUAGUUUUAACUCUAUACGCAGAAGUUGAAACUUAUUCAGCAUGAAUUAAACAUUUAUUAAGUACGCA
rnacentral:lncRNA from 1 species